AGAGUUUGAUCAUGGCUCAGAUUGAACGCUGGCGGCAGGCCUAACACAUGCAAGUCGAACGGUAACAGGAAGAAGCUUGCUUCUUUGCUGACGAGUGGCGGACGGGUGAGUAAUGUCUGGGAAACUGCCUGAUGGAGGGGGAUAACUACUGGAAACGGUAGCUAAUACCGCAUAACGUCGCAAGACCAAAGAGGGGGACCUUCGGGCCUCUUGCCAUCGGAUGUGCCCAGAUGGGAUUAGCUAGUAGGUGGGGUAACGGCUCACCUAGGCGACGAUCCCUAGCUGGUCUGAGAGGAUGACCAGCCACACUGGAACUGAGACACGGUCCAGACUCCUACGGGAGGCAGCAGUGGGGAAUAUUGCACAAUGGGCGCAAGCCUGAUGCAGCCAUGCCGCGUGUAUGAAGAAGGCCUUCGGGUUGUAAAGUACUUUCAGCGGGGAGGAAGGGAGUAAAGUUAAUACCUUUGCUCAUUGACGUUACCCGCAGAAGAAGCACCGGCUAACUCCGUGCCAGCAGCCGCGGUAAUACGGAGGGUGCAAGCGUUAAUCGGAAUUACUGGGCGUAAAGCGCACGCAGGCGGUUUGUUAAGUCAGAUGUGAAAUCCCCGGGCUCAACCUGGGAACUGCAUCUGAUACUGGCAAGCUUGAGUCUCGUAGAGGGGGGUAGAAUUCCAGGUGUAGCGGUGAAAUGCGUAGAGAUCUGGAGGAAUACCGGUGGCGAAGGCGGCCCCCUGGACGAAGACUGACGCUCAGGUGCGAAAGCGUGGGGAGCAAACAGGAUUAGAUACCCUGGUAGUCCACGCCGUAAACGAUGUCGACUUGGUGGCUGUGCCCUUGAGGCGUGGCUUCCGGAGCUAACGCGUUAAGUCGACCGCCUGGGGAGUACGGCCGCAAGGUUAAAACUCAAAUGAAUUGACGGGGGCCCGCACAAGUGGUGGAGCAUGUGGUUUAAUUCGAUGCAACGCGAAGAACCUUACCUGGUCUUGACAUCCACGGAAGUUUUCAGAGAUGAGAAUGUGCCUUCGGGAACCGUGAGACAGGUGCUGCAUGGCUGUCGUCAGCUCGUGUUGUGAAAUGUUGGGUUAAGUCCCGCAACGAGCGCAACCCUUAUCCUUUGUUGCCAGCGGUCCGGCCGGGAACUCAAAGGAGACUGCCAGUGAUAAACUGGAGGAAGGUGGGGAUGACGUCAAGUCAUCAUGUCCCUUACGACCAGGGCUACACACGUGCUACAAUGGCGCAUACAAAGAGAAGCGACCUCGCGAGAGCAAGCGGACCUCAUAAAGUGCGUCGUAGUCCGGAUUGGAGUCUGCAACUCGACUCCAUGAGGUCGGAAUCGCUAGUAAUCGUGGAUCAGAGUGCCACGGUGAAUACGUUCCCGGGCCUUGUACACACCGCCCGUCACACCAUGGGAGUGGGUUGCAAAAGAAGUAGGUAGCUUAACCUUCGGGAGGGCGCUUACCACUUUGUGAUUCAUGACUGGGGUGAAGUCGUAACAAGGUA
rnacentral:rRNA from 1 species